UACUGGCACAAUGGGCCAGUGCACCUGGUUACUAACCAGAAGGUUGGUGGUUCUGGCCCACCCAGGGAAG